rnacentral:rRNA from 1 species
CGCCUUUUGAAUUAUUAACAUAAAAGGUCCUGCCUGCCCAGUGACACUUGUUUUAACGGCCGCGGUAUUAUGACCGUGCAAAGGUAGCGUAAUCACUUGUCUUUUAAAUAAAGACCAGUAUGAAUGGCAAGACGAAACCUAACUGUCUCCCUAAGCUAGUCAAUAAAAUUGAUUUUCCCGUGCAGAAGCGGGAAUAAUAGUAUAAGACGAGAAGACCCUGUGGAGCUUUAAACUUAAGCUAACAAACUAUAAAUGCACUAGCACCAAGUUUUGGGUUGGGGCGACCGUGAGGUAAAACAUAACCCUCAAGACGAAAAUUAAGAAGGACACUUCAUACAAAUAUUAAUAACAUAAUUGACCCAAUAAUUGAUCAACGAACCAAGUUACCCCAGGGAUAACAGCGCAAUCUACUCAAAGAGCCCCUAUCGACGAGCAGGUUUACGACCUCGAUGUUGGAUCAGGACCCCCAAAUAAUGCAACAGUUAUUAAAGGUUCGUUUGUUCAACGAUUAAAGUCCU